UUUGUCGAAAGCGUCUAUUUACAAGACAAGGGAAGUACGACAUUUAUCUGCAUCCGAAGUUACAAAAUGCAGGAGUUUUUACUUUCAUUCAAACUAAACCAGAGAAAGUAAAAGUGGCCCAGUUUGAAGUGUUCGCUGUAAAAGUGAAACCAUAUCGCUGGUCCAAAGUAAAAGAAGGUUCUGAUGUGACCAUGAGCUGUGAAGUAUCGCACCUUCCAGAUUCAGCUACACUGGACUGGGAAAGGGACACAGAACCUACUGCUAACACAACGCUGAUCUACAACAACACUGCCCAUGUCAUCAUCCACAGUGCUGACCGAUCCAGUGAGGGAACGUAUAGCUGCACACUCAGAUGGAACGGAGCACUUAUUUUCAGCAUUCCCACGACACUUCAACUUGAAAGCGGUAUGUUACUAUGGAUAUCUGUUUUCACUAGAUUAUUUACAAAAGCAUCCUGAGCUUUAAGCGUUUUUCAUAAGCAACUCUGUGACUGUGAGGCACUUCAUUCAUUGAGAGUAAAGAUAAAUCCAAGUAAUAUCGCCAUAGUGAUCUUAAGACUCCAGUAAAAUAGAUGCAUGAUUGCAGAUUAUUCUAAAUAGGAAAUCUUGGGCCUCCAUAUUUUAAAAGGCUUUUCGGAAGUACUUUUCACAGUUUAACACAGUUU